UACGUAGGGUGCAAGCGUUGUCCGGAUUUAUUGGGUUUAAAGGGUGCGUAGGCGGCCCUGUAAGUCAGUGGUGAAAUACUGCAGCUUAACUGUAGCAUUGCCAUUGAUACUGUAGGGCUUGAGUACAGAUGAGGUAGGCGGAAUUGAUGGUGUAGCGGUGAAAUGCAUAGAUACCAUCAAGAACACCGAUUGCGAAGGCAGCUUACUAAGCUGUAACUGACGCUGAGGCACGAAAGCGUGGGGAUCGAACAGG
rnacentral:rRNA from 1 species